AGAUCUUAACCAGAAAUUAGUUUACUUUACAAUACGUACAAGAUGGUUACAGUACACUAAGGUUUUGCAGUUAUCAAUGUUUUUUACAAGUAUGGUAAUAAUGUUGUUAACACUUUUUCAACAGUACGCCAGACCAGCCGCCCAGACAGGCCCCAGCCAACUGAUGAGGAUGCUGGGAUUGCAGGUUCUACUUCUGUAAGCCGACCUCCUCUAAGGCGCCCAUCACAGGGCUCGGCUAACUUACCCAGGAGGCCAAGUAAGACACGGCGUCUUGAAUCCGAAUCUGCGGCUCCAUCUUCCCCACCCAGGCGGCGCAUCUCCGCAGUCUCACCCCAGCCACCACAAGCACUAUUGGCUAGUCCACAAAGUGAUGAGCCUCGAUCACCUCAGUUAUCUGAACCAACCUUGAUGCCCGACGUUGGCCAGCAGGAACAAGACCAACAGGCCACCUACACACUAAACCUAACACCCG